UACGAAGGUCCCAAGCGUUAUCCGGAUUUAUUGGGUUUAAAGGGUGCGUAGGCGGGCUAUUAAGUCAGUGGUGAAAGCCCCAAGCUCAACUCCAGAACUGCCUUUGAUACUGAGGAUCUUGAGUACGGGAGAGGUGAGUGGAACUGCGAGUGUAGAGGUGAAAUUCGUAGAUAUUCGCAAGAACACCAGUGGCGAAGGCGGCUCACUGGCCCGGUACUGACGCUGAGGUGCGAAAGCGUGGGGAGCAAACAGG
rnacentral:rRNA from 1 species